UACGGAGGGUGCAAGCGUUAUCCGGAUUUACUGGGUUUAAAGGGUGCGUAGGCGGGCCUUUAAGUCAGUGGUGAAAGCUCCGAGCUUAACUCGGAAACUGCCAUUGAUCACUAUUGGUCUUGAAUUCGGUCGAGGUUGGCGGAAUGUGUCGUGUAGCGGUGAAAUGCUUAGAUAUGACACAGAACACCGAUUGCGAAGGCAGCUAGCUAGACCGACAUUGACGCUGAGGCACGAAAGCGUGGGGAUCAAACAGG
rnacentral:rRNA from 1 species